rnacentral:rRNA from 1 species
CGAACGGGUGAGUAACGCGUGAGGAACCUGCCUUUCAGUGGGGGACAACAGUUGGAAACGACUGCUAAUACCGCAUGACGCUUCUUGGGGGCAUCCCCGGGAAGUCAAAGAUUUAUUGCUGAAAGAUGGCCUCGCGUCUGAUUAGCUAGUUGGCGGGGUAACGGCCCACCAAGGCGACGAUCAGUAGCCGGUCUGAGAGGAUGAACGGCCACAUUGGGACUGAGAUACGGCCCAG